rnacentral:tRNA from 1 species
GGCCCGUUGGUCAAGCGGUUAAGACACCGGCCUUUCACGCCGGCAACAGGGGUUCAAUUCCCCUACGGGUCACCA